CAGCAGCCGCGGUAAUACGGAGGGAGCUAGCGUUGUUCGGAAUCACUGGGCGUAAAGCGCACGUAGGCGGCUAUUCAAGUCAGGGGUGAAAGCCCGGGGCUCAACCCCGGAACUGCCUUUGAAACUAGAUAGCUUGAAUCUUGGAGAGGCGAGUGGAAUUCCGAGUGUAGAGGUGAAAUUCGUAGAUAUUCGGAAGAACACCAGUGGCGAAGGCGACUCGCUGGACAAGUAUUGACGCUGAGGUGCGAAAGCGUGGGGAGCAAACAGGAUUAGAUACCCCCGUAGUCCCUGUCUCUUAUAC
rnacentral:rRNA from 1 species